rnacentral:rRNA from 1 species
AUUGAACGCUGGCGGCAGGCCUAACACAUGCAAGUCGAGCGGAGCGGCUGACGGGUGAUUAAUGCCUAGGAAUCUGCCUGGUAGUGGUGGAUAACGUCCGGCUACGGGCGCUAAUACCGCCUACUUUCAGAUUAGCCUAGCCGGGCUUAGCUAGUGGGUGGGGUAAAGGCCUACCAAGGCGACGAUCCUGAACUGGUCUGAGAGGAUGAUCAGUCACACUGGAACUGAGACACGGUCCAGACUCCUAGGGGAGGCAGCAGUGGGGAAUAUUGGACAAUGGGCGAAAGCCUGAUCCAGCCAUGCCGCGUGUGUGAAGAAGGGCUUCGGAUUGUAAAGCACUUUAAGUUGGGAGGCGUUACCAACAGAAUAAGUACCGGCUAACUUCGUGCCAGCAGCCGCGGUAAUUA